GUGAUCAAGCUUGUCAAGAAAGUUUAUCAACACAAGUGUAUACAUAUAUGUUGGAUAAAUAUCAUAGUAAGUACAACCCACAAGAAACUCUGCGAUACAAACAUCUC